rnacentral:rRNA from 1 species
CCCUUAGAUGUUCUGGGCUGCACGCGCGCUACACUGAAGCGUUCAACGAGUAUUCACCUUGCCCGGGAGGGUUGGGUAAUCUUUUGAAAACGCUUCGUGAUGGGGAUAGAUUAUUGCAAUUAUUAAUCUUCAACGAGGAAUUCCUAGUAAGCGCGAGUCAUCAGCUCGUGCUGAUUACGUCCCUGCCCUUUGUACACACCGCCCGUCGCUCCUACCGAUUGGAUGGUCCGGUGAACUGGUCGGACUGCUGUUUGAAAUUGCGGGUGCAGUUGAUUCACGGGAAGUCUAGUAAACCUUAUCAUCUAGAGGAAGGAGAAGUCGUAACA